GAUGAAGAACGCAGCGAAAUGCGAUAAGUAAUGUGAAUUGCAGAAUUCAGUGAAUCAUCGAAUCUUUGAACGCACAUUGCGCCCGCCAGUAUUCUGGCGGGCAUGCCUGUUCGAGCGUCAUUUCAACCCUCAAGCCCAGCUUGGUGUUGGGGAUCGGCACAGGCGCCCUCGGGCGCCCGCCGUCCCCUAAAUCUAGUGGCGGUCCCGCUGCAGCCUCCUCUGCGUAGUAGUUUUCUCCUCGCAAGGGCAGCUCGGUGGCGACCUCGCCGUAAAACCCCCAACUUCUGAAAGGUUGACCUCGAAUCAGGUAGGAAUACCCGCUGAACUUAAGCAUAUCAAUAGCGGAGGA
rnacentral:misc_RNA from 1 species